rnacentral:rRNA from 1 species
GAAAGUAAAAAAGGGCGCAUGGCGGAUGCCUUGGCUCUCGGAGGCGAUGAAGGACGUGAUAAGCUGCGAUAAGCUUUGGGGAGGUGCAAAUGACCUUUGAUCCAGAGAUUUCCGAAUGGGACAACCCAAUAUCUUGAAGAGGUAUUAUCCAACGUUGUUGGAGGCUAACGCAGGGAACUGAAACAUCUUAGUACCUGCAGGAAAAGAAAAUAAACAAUGAUUCCCCCAGUAGUGGCGAGCGAACGGGGAACAGCCCAAACCAUCCAUGUUACGGCAUGGGUGGGGUUGUAGGACUACGCCGUUGCAUGAAGACAUCAGAGAAGAACUUUCUGGAAAGAAAGACCAUAGAGCAUGACAGUUGCGUAUUCGAAUGUUGUCGAAGCAUAGUAGUAUCCUGAGUAGCGCGGAGCACGAGGAAUUCUGCGUGAAUCUGCCGGGACCAUCCGGUAAGGCUAAAUACUCCCGAGAGACCGAUAGCGAACCAGUACCGUGAGGGAAAGGUGAAAAGCACUUCGAACAGAAGAGUGAAAUAGUUCCUGAAACCGUGCGCCUACAAGCGGUCGGAGCUCGUUAAUGAGUGACGGCGUGCCUUUUGCAUAAUGAACCUACGAGUUGCCUUUGCCGGCAAGGUUAAGUGUGACGACACACGUAUCCGAAGCGAAAGCGAGUCUGAACAGGGCGUAUAGUCGGCAGUGGCAGACGCGAAACCAAGUGAUCUACCCUUGGCCAGGUUGAAGGCUGGGUAACACCAGCUGGAGGACCGCACCAAUAAGCGUUGAAAAGCUUCUGGAUGAGCUGAGGGUAGGGGUGAAAGGCUAAUCAAACUUGGAGAUAGCUCGUACUCCCCGAAAUGCAUUUAGGUGCAGCCUUGCGGGUUACUGAUGUGAGGUAGAGCGACUGAUUGGAUGCGAGGGCUUCACCGCCUAUCAAGUCCUGACAAACUCCGAAUGCGCAUCAGUUCUACCGCAGGAGUGAGGGCAUGGGUGCUAAGGUCCGUGCCCGAGAGGAGAAGAAUCCGGACCACCGGCUAAGGUCCCGAAAUGACAGCUAAGUUAAACUAACGAAGUCUGAUUGCUAAGACAGCUAGGAUGUUGGCUUGGAAGCAGCCAUUCAUUUAAAGAGUGCGUAACAGCUCACUAGUCGAGGAGUCGGGCGUGGAUAAUAAUCGGGUAUCAAGUUGUCUACCGAAGCAGUGGGAUCAUUUAUAUGAUCGGUAGGGGAGCAUUCCAGUCAGCGUCGAAGGCGUACCGUGAGGUAUUCUGGAGCGUCUGGAAAAGCAAAUGUAGGUAUAAGUAACGAUAAAGGGGGCGGGAAACCCCCUCGCCGAAAGACUAAGGUUUCCUGAUCAACGCUAAUCGGAUCAGGGUCAGUCGGGUCCUAAGGCUCAGCCGAACGGCGAUGCCGAUGGCAGAAACGGUUAAUAUUCCGUUACUACCUUCAGGAGUGACGUGGAGACGCAGUAGUGACAGUGCCGCCAUCUGACGGAAUAGAUGGUUGAAGGGUGUAGGAGUCGAUCAUGGCAGGCAAAUCCACCAUGAGAUCCGAACCUGACAGUAUGCCGCGUCCUUCGGGACAAGGCAAUAGUGCGCGUAAGCAUGCUGCCGAGAAAAUCCGCUAAACUUAAUCCUGCAGGUACCCGUACCGCAAACGGACACACGUAGUCGGGAUGAAUAUUCUAAGGCGCUUGAGUGAUUCACGGUUAAGGAACUAGGCAAACUGACCCUGUAACUUCGGGAUAAAGGGUCCCUACCCUUUUAUGGGAGGGCGCAGAGAAUCGGUCCAGGCAACUGUUUAACAAAAACACAGGGCUGUGCCAAAUCGAAAGAUCCAGUAUACAGCCUGACACCUGCCCGGUGCUGGAAGGUUAAGAGGAGAUGUCAUCGAUAAGAGAAGCGUUGAAUUGAAGCCCCAGUAAACGGCGGCCGUAACUAUAACGGUCCUAAGGUAGCGAAAUUCCUUGUCGGGUAAGUUCC